rnacentral:tRNA from 1 species
GCCAGGAUACCCAAAUGGUUAUAAGGGCGUCGCUUCGAAAGCGUCUGUGCCGAUCAGGCUUAUGGGUUCGAAUCCCAUUCCUGGCG